GGACCAAGGAGUCUAGCAUGUGCGCGAGUCAUUGGGACUUCUACGAAACCUAAAGGCGCAAUGAAAGUGAAGGUCCGCCUUGCGCGGACCGAGGGAGGAUGGGCGGUCCCGAGGGGCCGCCUCGCACUCCCGGGGCGUCUCGUUCUCAUCGCGAGAAGAGGCGCACCCAGAGCGUACACGCUGGGACCCGAAAGAUGGUGAACUAUGCCUGGUCAGGACGAAGUCAGGGGAAACCCUGAUGGAGGUCCGUAGCGAUUCUGACGUGCAAAUCGAUCGUCGGAACUGGGUAUAGGGGCGAAAGACUAAUCGAACCAUCUAGUAGCUGGUUCCCUCCGAAGUUUCCCUCAGGAUAGCUGGCGCUCGCUUCUCGCGAGUCUCAUUCGGUAAAGCGAAUGAUUAGAGGCAUUGGGGUCGAAACGGCCUCAACCUAUUCUCAAACUUUAAAUGGGUGAGAUCUCCGGCUUGCUUGAACUGUGAAGCCGCGAGAUAUCGGAUCAGAGUGCCAAGUGGGCCACUUUUGGUAAGCAGAACUGGCGCUGUGGGAUGAACCAAACGCUGAGUUAAAGCGCCUAAAUCGACGCUUAUGGGAUACCAUGAAAGGCGUUGGUAACUUAAGACAGCAGGACGGUGGCCAUGGAAGUCGGA
rnacentral:rRNA from 1 species